AGAAAUUUUAUUUUGGCCAGGAGCUGAAGUUGGUUGUUUAGUAGUAGUAGUUUGAGUAGUGACCGAAGUAGUAGUCUGGUGUGGUAAUUGGGGCAGCUGUGGUCUCUUGUGGAGCUGGGGAAGACGGUGGAGCUGGUGUAGUUGCAGAAGGUGUGGGUGGGACAGCUGUGGUCUCUGGUGGAGCUGAGGAAGAUAGUGGAGCUGGUGUAGUUGCAGAAGGUGUGGGUGGGGCAGCUGUGGUGUCUUGUGGAGCUGGGGAAUUCACUGGUGCUAAUGUAGCUACAGAAGAGCUUGUGUUAACAUUUUCUCUUGAAGAUAUGGUGGUGGCAUUCUGGGGAAGAAAAGUCACAUUUGGAAGGGUAGUAAUUUUGGUGGCUGCUUAGGCCUACAGCGUUUGUGCAGACAUUUAUAGGACUUUCUAAUGAACGGCUUCUGGUGAGCUAGCAGUCCAGGAU
rnacentral:lncRNA from 1 species